AAGAGAUGAUGGUUCCGUGAUUUCUGUAUGAUUUGUUUGUAUGUUGAGUAUACAGAGAGGUCAGGAUUUACUUUUUCAAGAACUUGAUCCCUUUUGUGAUUUUGCCACGUUGACUUGAAUGUUUCAUUAUCAAUCAUUACACAUCAUUUAGUGCCUAAUCCGGUUUUUACUUUUCUGUUCAUAUAAUAUUCAGAAAUUAAUUUUUGUUUAAAGGUCCACUAGACAUUUUUGUAUUGCGGAGUUAGAAACACAUAUCAUGAGAUCAAAACACAGGAUUGUCAGACUAUUGAAUCCUAAUACGUUUUUUUUAAAUACAUUUUUUUGGUGCGUCUAUGUUCUGUUUCUGUGUGUAAAUUAAUGAAAUCUUAGUUCUUUGGAACAGAACUCUGUAGAAAUGAUAAUUUUUUUUUUUUAAAUGUAGAAAUGAUAACUUUAGAAGUGAGAAUGAUGUUACAGUCUUUAGCAUCACAUAGUCUAUAGCAUAUUCUCUAUACACGCCUGACAUAUGCUUGAAUAACGCACUCAUUUCCACUCGGUCAAGAUAAAAGUUAUACCCUGAUACUAUUGAUGAGUCUAGAUUGAAUAAAUAAGAGUGAAAAUCGAUGAAUAGAAGAUUAAGAGAGGAAAAAAGAAAGGGGAUAACACCCAGUUUUUGUUAACCGUAAUCGAUAAUGUUUUCACGACCUAAAACAAU
rnacentral:lncRNA from 1 species